AUUCCCCUAGUAACUGCGAGUGAAGCGGGAAAAGCUCAAAUUUAAAAUCUGGCAGUCUCUGGCUGUCCGAGUUGUAAUCUAGAGAAGUAAUGCCCGUGCUGGACCGUGUAUAAGUCUCCUGGGAUGGGGCGUCAUAGAGGGUGAGAAUCCCGUCUUUGACACGGACUACCAGUGCAUUGUGGUAUGCUCUCAAAGAGUCGAGUUGUUUGGGAAUGCAGCUCAAAAUGGGUGGUAAAUUCCAUCUAAAGCUAAAUAUUGGCGAGAGACCGAUAGCGAACAAGUACCGUGAGGGAAAGAUGAAAAGAACUUUGGAAAGAGAGUUAAACAGUACGUGAAAUUGCUGAAAGGGAAACGCUUGAAGUCAGUCGCGUUGGCCGGGAAUCAGCCUUGCUUUUGCAUGGUGUACUUUCUGGUUGACGGGUCAGCAUCAAUUUCGAUCGCUGGAAAAAGGCCUGGGGAAUGUGGCAGCUUCGGCUGUGUUAUAGCCCCUAGUCGCAUACAGUGGUUGGGAUUGAGGAACUCAGCACGCCGCAAGGCCGGGUUUCGACCACGUUCGUGCUUAGGAUGCUGGCAUAAUGGCUUUAAGCGACCCGUCUUGAAACACGGACCAAGGAGUCUAACAUGCCUGCGAGUAUUUGGGUGGAAAACUCAAGUGCGUAAUGAAAGUGAAAGUUGAGAUCCCUGUCGUGGGGAGCAUCGACGCCCGGACCAGAACUUUUGGGACGGAUCCGCGGUGGAGCAUGUAUGUUGGGACCCGAAAGAUGGUGAACUAUGCCUGAAUAGGGUGAAGCCAGAGGAAACUCUGGUGGAGGCUCGUAGCGAUUCUGACGUGCAAAUCGAUCGUCAAAUUUGGGUAUAGGGGCGAAAGACUAAUCGA
rnacentral:rRNA from 1 species